CUCACCUUCUAGUUCCUCCUUCUCAUAGUGGAUGUUCAGUACUGAACUGGUCCCUCCCUGGUCCACCACCACCUCCUCAUCUGGCCUCUGAUGGACACACACACAGAGACACACAACACAUCAGCCAUAUUUUUCUUAUGGAAAAGUUCAACUUUGUAGAACACCUUGAGCCCUUCAAGAUCAGGCCGUGAAAGGAAACCUGAAAAGGUCAUUAUGUCCCAUUAAAGACAAACUCCUCACACCGUUA